rnacentral:rRNA from 1 species
AACGAACGCUGGUGGCGUGCUUAACACAUGCAAGUCGAACGAGAAAGUUUCCUUCGGGAAAUUAGUAAGGUGGCGCAAGGGUGAGUAACACGUGAAUAAUCUGCCCUCGAGAUCGGGAUAACAUGGUGAAAACUAUGCUAAUACCGGAUAAGACCACAUUUUAAAAAGAAAUGCGGUAAAAGGAGUCUCAAUCUUUACUCGAGGAUGAGUUCGCGCAACAUUAGCUUGUUGGUGAGAUAAAAGCUCACCAAGGCUACGAUGUUUAGCCGGCCUGAGAGGGUGAACGGCCACACUGGAACUGAGACACGGUCCAGACUCCUACGGGAGGCAGCAGUGGGGAAUAUUGCGCAAUGGAGGAAACUCUGACGCAGCCAUGCCGCGUGUGUGAAG